CCCUUUGCUUGAACGUUCCUUGCACAAGCCCAUAAGCCCAAAAUAAAAUUAGCUGCUGCAGUGUGUCCAGGCCGUGACACCCCUAUGUGCUCACCAAAUAUUAAAUGCCAAGCUUCUAAGAUGGGUGAUGUAGCUGCCCUCUUAAUUAAUCCAAAAGCAACGUGCUUUCUUAAGUGAAGAGAUGAAUCAUGGGCUGCCUUAUUUUCC
rnacentral:lncRNA from 1 species